AACGAACGCUGGCGGCAUGCCUAACACAUGCAAGUCGAACGAGACCUUCGGGUCUAGUGGCGCACGGGUGCGUAACGCGUGGGAACCUGCCCUUAGGUUCGGAAUAACUCCCCGAAAGGGGUGCUAAUACCGGAUAAUGUCUUCGGACCAAAGAUUUAUCGCCUUUGGAUGGGCCCGCGUUGGAUUAGCUAGUUGGUAGGGUAAAAGCCUACCAAGGCGACGAUCCAUAGCUGGUCUGAGAGGAUGAUCAGCCACACUGGGACUGAGACACGGCCCAGACGCCUACGUGAGGCAGCAGUGGGGAAUAUUGGACAAUGGGCGAAAGCCUGAUCCAGCAAUGCCGCGUGAGUGAUGAAGGCCUUAGGGUUGUAAAGCUCUUUUACCCGGGAUGAUAAUGACAGUACCGGGAUAAUAAGCUCCGGCUAACUCCGUG
rnacentral:rRNA from 1 species